UACGUAGGGUGCAAGCGUUAAUCGGAAUUACUGGGCGUAAAGCGUGCGCAGGCGGCUUUGCAAGACAGAUGUGAAAUCCCCGGGCUUAACCUGGGAACUGCAUUUGUGACUGCAUGGCUGGAGUGCGGCAGAGGGGGAUGGAAUUCCUGGUGUAGCAGUGAAAUUCGUAGAUAUCGGGAGGAACACCGGUGGCGAAGGCGGCGACCUGGGUAGAUACUGACGCUGAGGAGCGAAAGCGUGGGGAGCGAACAGG
rnacentral:rRNA from 1 species